rnacentral:lncRNA from 1 species
AGUGAUGGAUUUAGGGCAAUCAUGCUAUUGUAUUCAGAGCUGGUGGUGACCAUAUCCCUUGCCUUGACUUUGCCCAUGAAAAAUAGGCCGAUUGGGAUUUGACCGAGACCAAGCUGACGAGUGAAAACUGAAGGAUCAUAGAACUCAUAAGAGGGCUUGUGAGACCGUCCAUUGGCAAAACCAACUGGAAGGAUGCAGGGAAUAGCAGAUGAUUCAAAAAUUGAUUUACUCGGCUCGGUUAUGC